rnacentral:rRNA from 1 species
UACAGAGGUCCCGAGCGUUGUUCGGAUUCACUGGGCGUAAAGGGUGCGUAGGUGGCAUGGUAAGUUUGAUGUGAAAGCUCAGGGCUCAACCCUGAAAUGGCAUUGAAUACUAUCGUGCUGGAGGUUUGGAGGGGGGACUGGAAUUCCCGGUGUAGCGGUGAAAUGCGCAGAUAUCGGGAAGAACACCCGUGGCGAAGGCGGCUCUCUGGGACGGUACUGACGCUGAGACGCGAAAGCGUGGGGAGCGAACAGG